GCUCUUCACUGCCCCUGCACAUGGGGUUACUUCUCCUUCCCUGCUGCUGGAGUCCAAGCACUGCUGCUUGCUUUGCAGACCGCCUGCUGAGUUGCAGGCUGGAUUACUAUAACCAAACCCACUGAGUCUGAAGCUGACUAUUGAGGCUAUGCACAUGCUCCAGCUGCUACAGAAUGAGCCACAGAGAAUGUGAGCAGCCACAUUCUCAAAGAACCAUUGAUAAAUACUCAAAGACCAAAAUUUGAUAUAUGGACCCUUCCUGACAGCUGUGCUUCUCUGGGACAAUGCAGAUCACAAAGCCAGGAUGAAGCAUGUUAGAUCUGGGGACAAUGCUGUGAUCCAGCAAUGGAACAACCUUCCCUAGGAGAUCAGGUGAAUCCAGAGUCUGAACAUCUUUAGAAAAUGCUGCAAAACCAUCUCUAUGAAAACCUCCCUCCAUCAUAAGAAUGACACUAGCAAUACUGACUCCCUCUUCAAUCCAAGAUAAUCCUACCAACCAAAAGAGAUGAUUGUAGUAAAAUAUAAUCAUUCAAAAGCAUAUUUCCUAUCCAAAGCAGAGUUUUAUCCUAAAAAAGGUGGAAAUGUCAGAGACUCCAUGAAAUCCACUAAGGACUUCUCUAUUGCUAUUGAGUUUCAUGGAAGGUGCUUAGCUAACACGGUGAUGGGUGGCAAUAUAAAAACCUUAGAUAGUAGGUCUGAAGGAGUCCAGGAAGGAUCCAACUUACACCAUCUUAUACAUCACUUCUGAAGCUGUCCCCAUAUAUCUACUGGUGCUUUAA